CAGCAGCCGCGGGAAUACGGAGGAUCCAAGCGUUAUCCGGAUUUAUUGGGUUUAAAGGGUGCGUAGGUGGCCUGUUAAGUCAGGGGUGAAAGACGGUAGCUCAACUAUCGCAGUGCCCUUGAUACUGAUGGGCUUGAAUGAACUAGAGGUAGGCGGAAUGUGACAAGUAGCGGUGAAAUGCAUAGAUAUGUCACAGAACACCAAUUGCGAAGGCAGCUUACUAUGGUUUGAUUGACACUGAGGCACGAAAGCGUGGGGAUCAAACAGGAUUAGAUACCCGCGUAGUCCCUGUCUCUUAUAA
rnacentral:rRNA from 1 species